UUCGAACGUCCAAAUGAAUGAGUCAAAGAAGAAACAAAAAGUGUGCGUAGUAGGCGCCGGCGCAGCGGGUCUCUGCGCAGCCAGGCACCUGGCGCGAAAUUUGAACUUCGAAAUGAAGGUGUACGAACAGACGAACGAUGUCGGUGGUACGUGGGUGUACAAAAAAGUAACUGAAGUCGAUGAAAACGGUUUGCCCGUUCACUCGAGCAUGUAUCGGGACCUCAGAACUAAUUUACCAGCGAAGAUAAUGAAUUUCCCGGACUACGUAAAAAUGAACGCCGAGGAACCUUGUUGCGUAACGCACCAAGAAGUCCGAACUUACUUAGAAAAUUAUGCGAAGAAUUUUGAUUUGCUCAAACACAUUCAGUUUGGUACCAGGGUAGAGUCCGUUCAUUUAAAGGUUUCAUCCGAAGGUAAAGACACGUGGGUUGUACGAGUAAGGAAUAUAAAAACGAAGGAAAUCGAAGAAAUUGUUUUCGACGCCAUAAUGAUAUGCAACGGACAUUAUUUCGACCCGUUUAUGCCGCCCGUACCUGGCAUCGACACUUCUCCAGGAGCCGUCGUACACAGCCACUCUUACAGAAAGCCGGAAGAUUUUUCCGGAAAGACCGUGCUAAUUUUAGGCGCCGGUGCUUCCGGAACCGACAUAGCACUCGAUUUGACAAAUCACGCAACUCGGAUAUACCUCAGUCACAAUAACGACAGGUUGACAAGCGUUCUACCUUCAAACAUGAUCGAAGUGACAGGAGUCGAAAGGAUAGAAGGCGAGAAAAUCUUCUUGAAAGAUCAAACCUCCGUCACAGCAGACGUCUUCAUGUUCUGCACCGGAUACCGCUACAAUUUCCCAUUCCUGAACGAAAGCUGCGGCAUAAAAGUGGACGGCAAUUACGUGACUCCGCUGUAUAAACAUUUAAUCAAUAUCGAUCAUCCGACGAUGUGUAUAGUUGGAAUACCGACCAUUGUUGUUCCAUUUCCCAUGUUUCACGCGCAAGUGCAAUACUUCCUCGCGGUGUUGGAAAACGGGGCAAGUUUACCGGCUAGGUCGAUCAUGCUGGAGGACUCGAAGUUGAAGACCGCGAAAAAAAGCCAUGCGCACAGAUUAAUGGACACACAAUGGGAGUACAACGAUUCGCUGGCGGAUGCAGCUGGCUUUGAUCGACUGCCAAAGUUUUACAAAAUCGGUUACAGGAUGUGGUCGAGCCAGAGGAAGGUGAACCUGGUGAACUACAAGCGGUCCAGGUUCGUGAUAUCCGAAGAUGGGGAGGCGGUUGAAUUCGCGAUACCAAAGUAAAUGUUGAUUCGCAAGAUAGGAUACAAGAGGUGGUCAGAGAAAGGUGAACUAUUUACAAGCGGUUCAGAUAUCUGAAGAUGUGUAGACAGUUGAAUUUGAUACUAAAAUAAAAAUUGAUUCGCAAGAUCGGAUACAAGAGGUGGUCAGAGAAAGGUGAACUAUUUACAAGCGGUUCAGAUAUCUGAAGAUGUGUAGACAGUUGAAUUUGAUACUAAAAUAAAAAUUGAUUCGCAAGAUCGGAUACAAGAGGUGGUCAGAGAAAGGUGAACUAUUUACAAGCGGUUCAGAUAUCUGAAGAUGUGUAGACAGUUGAAUUUGAUACUAAAAUAAAAAUUGAUUCGCAAGAUCGGAUACAAGAGGUGGUCAGAGAAAGGUGAACUAUUUACAAGCGGUUCAGAUAUCUGAAGAUGUGUAGACAGUUGAAUUUGAUACUAAAAUAAAAAUUGAUUCGCAAGAUCGGAUACAAGAGGUGGUCAGAGAAAGGUGAACUAUUUACAAGCGGUUCAGAUAUCUGAAGAUGUGUAGACAGUUGAAUUUGAUACUAAAAUAAAAAUUGAUUCGCAAGAUCGGAUACAAGAGGUGGUCAGAGAAAGGUGAACUAUUUACAAGCGGUUCAGAUAUCUGAAGAUGGGUAGACAGUUGAAUUUGAUACUAAAAUAAAAAUUGAUUCGCAAGAUCGGAUACAAGAGGUGGUCAGAGAAAGGUGAACUAUUUACAAGCGGUUCAGAUAUCUGAAGAUGGGUAGACAGUUGAAUUUGAUACUAAAAUAAAAAUUGAUUCGCAAGAUCGGAUACAAGAGGUGGUCAGAGGAAGGUGAACUACAAGCGGUUCAGAUAUCUGAAGAUGUGUAGACAGUUGAAUUUGAUACUAAAAUAAAAGUUGAUUCGCAAAAUUGGUUACAAGGGUUGGAAUCAGAGGAAGGAAACUACAAGUGGUCCAGAUAUCUGAAGAUGGGUAGACAGUUGAAUUUGAUACCAAAAUAAAAGUUGAUUCGCAAAAUUGAUUACAAGUGGUGGAGUCAGAGGAAGGAAACUACAAGCGGUUCAGAUAUUUGAAGAUGUGUAGACAGUUGAAUUUGAUACCAAAAUAAAAGUUGAUUCGCAAAAUUGAUUACAAGUGGUGGAGUCAGAGGAAGGAAACUACAAGCGGUUCAGAUAUUUGAAGAUGUGUAGACAGUUGAAUUUGAUACCAAAAUAAAAGUUGAUUCGCAAAAUUGAUUACAAGUGGUGGAGUCAGAGGAAGGAAACUACAAGCGGUUCAGAUAUUUGAAGAUGUGUAGACAGUUGAAUUUGAUACCAAAAUAAAAGUUGAUUCGCAAAAUUGAUUACAAGUGGUGGAGUCAGAGGAAGGAAACUACAAGCAGUCCUCAUAUCCGAAGAUGGGCAGACAGUUGAAUUCGUGAUACCAAAGUAAAAGUUGAUUCGCAAAAUCGGUUACAAGAGUCAGAGGAAGGUGAGCCUGGUAAACUACAAGUGGUCCAAAGUGAACCUGGCAAACUACAUGCGAAGAUGGGUAGGGAAGAUGGGUAGUUCAAUUUGAUACAAAAAUAAAAGCUUCCCAACUAGUUACCAGCGAAAUAAAAUUUUUAUUGGUACAUUUCAA
rnacentral:misc_RNA from 1 species